rnacentral:rRNA from 1 species
UGUCCUGCCAGUAGUCAUAUGCUUGUCUCAAAGAUUAAGCCAUGCAUGUCUAAGUACAGGCCUACCCAGGGCGAAACCGCGAAUGGCUCAUUAAAUCAGUCAUGAUUUAUUGGAUGUCGUAAAAUCCCUUACAUGGAUAACUGUGGUAAUUCUAGAGCUAAUACAUGCAAUUGAGCUCCGACCUCGUCGCUGUCAAAGGCGACGAGGGAAGUGCGCUUUUAUUAGAUAAAAAACCGAGUGGACUUCGGUCCUUCUCCCAUAAAAAGAGUCAGUGAUGAAUCUGAAUAACCUAGCCGAGCGCUGCGGUCUUCGUACCGGCGCCGUAUCUUUCAAGUGUCUGCCUUAUCAGCUUUCGAUUGUAGGUUAUACGCCUACAAUGGCUGUAACGGGUAACGGGGAAUCAGGGUUCGAUUCCGGAGAGGGAGCCUGAGAAACGGCUACCACAUCUAAGGAAGGCAGCAGGCACGCAAAUUACCCACUCCCGGCACGGGGAGGUAGUGACGAAAAAUAACGAUGCGGGACUCUUCCGAGGCCUCGCAAUCGGAAUGAGUCUACCCUAAAUCCUUGGACGAGGAUCCAUUGGAGGGCAAGUCUGGUGCCAGCAGCCGCGGUAAUUCCAGCUCCAAUAGCGUAUAUUAAAGUUGCUGCGGUUAAAAAGCUCGUAGUUGGACUUCUGAUUCGGUCCGGCGGCCCAUCCAAGGCGUACCCUCGUCACGCGCGAGCGGGAUAUCUUUGGCUUCACCCGUCUCGGUGGUCUCGUGGGCGAGAGCGAGUACUUAUAAAUAUUGCGCAGUCGGUGGCGUUGGAUAAACACGGAACCUCUCCCGCUUAAAGGCGCGCUUUGGUGCGUGCGUAUCGGAGAAGGGCUCAAGCGAGGUUGGAUGCGGCGAAGCGAAUCCGGGCGAGUUGGAUCUUCCCCUCACGGGUGUUGAUCGGCGGUUUAGCGGGGAACGAGAGUACUUUUGGCGAGGGGGAAUAAAGGGACCGCGGGAAGGAGGUGACGGUGUGUUUUCACAUCAUCAUCACACCCCCGCGAUCAUCCCUCCAUCCCGCCUGAUUUCCACUUCUCGUCUCUUUCGCGGCCGUCGGGAGUCCGCGAGAAGGGGCCUUCACGAUUCCGUUCGCUCUCGUCCUCCUUUAUACGCCUCGUUCCUUCUACCUUUCCACGCGUUUUACAUGCCAUUUCGCGCUGGGAUGCAUCUUCCAACCCUUCGCUCAACCGCUCGUAUUUUUUUAUGCUCCUCUCGUUCGGCGUUGGCCCCGGGAUUAAAAGCGGGAGUACGCUGUAUGGAUACUUCCCGUUCCGGGCGAGUAAGUGCGCCCGGUGGUUCAACUGCCCGGCCCCGAAUUGAGAAAUCCGUCGGCUUUCACGGGGUGCUCUUCACCGAGUGUCCCGCGUGGCCGAUACGUUCACUUUGAAAAAAUUAGAGUGCUCAGAGCAGGCAAUAACUAACGCCUGAAUGGUAGUGCAUGGAAUGAUGGAACAGGACCUCGGUUCUGUAAUUUUUUUGGCUCGGUUCGUCAGAACCCGAGGUAAUGAUUAACAGAAAAAGACGGGGGCAUUAGUAUUGCGACGCUAGAGGUGAAAUUCUUGGACCGUCGCAAGACUAACUACUGCGAAAGCAUUUGCCUAGAAUGUUUUCAUUAAUCAAGAACGAAAGUUAGAGGAUCGAAGGCGAUCAGAUACCGCCCUAGUUCUAACCAUAAACGAUGCUAACUGGCGAUCCGCUUAAGUCAUUCCCACGACUGAGCGGGAAGCCCCCGGGAAACCAAAGUCUUUGAGUUCCGGGGGAAGUAUGGUUGCAAAGCUGAAACUUAAAGGAAUUGACGGAAGGGCACCACCAGGAGUGGAGCCUGCGGCUUAAUUUGACUCAACACGGGGAACCUCACCAGGCCCAGACGCCGGAAGGAUUGACAGAUUAAGAGCUCUUUCUCGAUUCGGUGGGUGGUGGUGCAUGGCCGUUCUUAGUUGGUGGAGCGAUCUGUCUGGUUGAUUCCGAUAACGAACGAGACUCUACCCUACUAACUAGUCGGCGGAUCGUCUCCCGAGAAGGGCCCUCGCCCGGUAGUUUUCGGCGUCCCUUCCUUUCUUACGCCCCCUUUCGCGGUCGGCGGCGCGUCCGUACGGGUGUGGCGGGAGUGUUCGUAUUCGAAUUCGUUCGUUGCGACGCUUUUCGCCCUCUCGCGCGGUUUGUCGUCGCCGGCGGGGAGGGAUCAGCGCCUGGGGGAAGCGUCGUUGCUCCGAGCGUCGGGCCCAGCGAGGGGCGUCCGUCGCAACAUCUUCUUAGAGGGAUCGGCGGCGUCCAGCCGCACGAGAAAGAGCAAUAACAGGUCUGUGAUGCCCUUAGAUGCUCUGGGCCGCACGCGCGCUACAAUGAAGGGAUCAGCGUGCUCUCCCCCUCCGAAAGGAGCGGGUAACCCGUUGAAACCCCUUCCCGAUUGGGAUUGGGGCUUGUAAAUAUUUCCCAUGAACGAGGAAUUCCCAGUAAGCGCGAGUCAUCAGCUCGCGUUGAUUACGUCCCUGCCCUUUGUACACACCGCCCGUCGCUACUACCGAUUGAAUGAUUCAGUGAGGGCAUCGGACUGGCGCCCUCGGUAGCCUUCGGCUCGCAAUAAAAGUCUCGUUUCGGCGGGGCUGCGGCCGCGGGCACCCCGGGCUGACGGAAAGAUGUCCGAACUUGAUCAUUUAGAGGAAGUAA